rnacentral:rRNA from 1 species
GACGAACGCUGGCGGCGUGCUUAACACAUGCAAGUCGAACGGAAAGGCCCUGCUUUUGUGGGGUGCUCGAGUGGCGAACGGGUGAGUAACACGUGAGUAACCUGCCCUUGACUUUGGGAUAACUUCAGGAAACUGGGGCUAAUACCGGAUAGGAGCUCCUGCUGCAUGGUGGGGGUUGGAAAGUUUCGGCGGGUGGGGAUGGACUCGCGGCUUAUCAGCUUGUUGGUGGGGUAGUGGCUUACCAAGGCUUUGACGGGUAGCCGGCAUGAGAGGGUGACCGGCCACAUUGGGACUAAGGUACGGCCCAGACGCCUACGGGAGGCAGCAGUGGGGAAUAUUGCACAAUGGGCGGAAGCCUGAUGCAGCAACGCCGCGUGCGGGAUGACGGCCUUCGGGUUGUAAACCGCUUUCGCCUGUGACGAAGCGUGAGUGACGGUAAUGGGUAAAGAAGCACCGGCUAACUACGUG